rnacentral:snoRNA from 1 species
GCAUCUGGAUCUUCCCCACUCCUUGUGAUGUAAGUGCUGGACUGGAGACACACACGAUGCAAGAGGAGAGCAGAGGAAAUCCAGACAAGAUCCCUUUCACCACAGUGGGACUUGUCUCUACACCUUUGCAACAUGU